rnacentral:rRNA from 1 species
AGCAAGAAAAGCCAAGCACCCGCGGUUGAUGCAACGGAGUGUAGAAGUGUGGUUGGAAGCCUAAGGUAUCUUGUGAAUACACGACCAGACUUGGCAUAUUCCGUUGGCGUAAUGAGUCGCUUUAUGGAAGCACCCACGACAGAACAUUGGGCAGCUGUGAAACAAAUACUCAGGUACAUCAAAGGGACAACUAACUUCGGUUGUGUCUAUUUGAGAGAGAAGCGGAAGGAGAUGGUGGAGCUACUUGGCUACAGUGAUAGCGACUUGGCAGGAGAUAUUGACGACCGUAAAAGUACCUCGGGUGUGGCAUAUUUCUUGGGAAGAAGCAUA